rnacentral:lncRNA from 1 species
ACAGUCCAGGGGAGGAAACAGCCCAGGAGGGAAUUUCAGCAGAGCAUGAUGCAAGCUGCGAUAAGGGCACUGAAGAAACAAAAGCGAAUAUCAUAGACCUAGACUCUGCUUUUCUGGGAGCUGAGGGGCACAGAUCCUAAAUCAAAGGAUCUCACAAUAAAACACAGACAGUGAGAAGCGCUGUCAGGGAAGGCUUCUCUAAGGUGAGGCAAACCAGCUGGUUUGGUACUUUGUUCGGCCACUAUCCAGUGAGUACCCACUGGGUCAGACACUGCUGAGUGCAAGGAUGCAGGGUGAGGAAGACGGACCCAGUUCCUGCCCUCAAGGGGCUGACAUUCCAGUAAAGGAGAUGCACCAAUAAAUGGACAACGACAGCACGGCGAGGCAAAUGCAGCUAGAGCUACAGAGGGGCUGUGGGCGCAGGGAGGGCUUCUGGAUGGAGGGGGUGAGCAGGAGUUAGGGAUUGCGCGUGGGGUGGGAGAGGGGCUGGCGGGGUGUCUCUGGCGACCUGCUGGGCUCAGGAGGCUGCGGGGAAUGGUGGGAGAAGAUGCUGUAGCCUUGGAAGAAGGUCAAGGUCCACUAGAAGGAGAGCCAAGGCCGUGGAUGCAGGAAGGCAGAGGGUGCUUGCUGGGCUCCCGCUGUCUCCCCAUCUCUGCCCGUGCCUCCUCUUUCUGUCCUUCUCUAUCUGUCUCUGUUUCUCCCUGUCAGCACCUGACCGUCUCUCAGAUUCUCUCAUUGUCUCUCUUGGCCUCUCGGCCUCUCUUUCUCUGACUCUCUCUUGUCUGCUCUAAAAAAAAAAAAAAAAAAAAAAAAAAAACCCAGGCGGGUGGGCUGGAAGCAAGGCCAGGGGCACAAGGACAGCUGAGCACAGGGACAGGCUGUGACUGAAUGUUCUGUUUUGGAAAGACAGCUCUGGUCAGGGGCGAAGGUGGCUGACCACGAAACUUGAUAACCUGGCCAAACUCAGUUUUAGCCAGUCUUCUGGCCGGCAGCCCUGUGACCCCGUGGGUGCCGCGCAGAAUUUUCCCAGAGGGAGGGGGAGAUGGGGAAAUGGCCCACGGGCAGUUUCUCCUCUGGCGACCAGGACCAACAGGGAUGGCAAUAAGGGAAUGGUGCAUUCUCCAGUGUGACCUCAGUGUGGCUCAGACCAGGAAAGGCCUGCUUAUCUCUGUGCACUUUCCAAAGGUUUAACGAUUUAUUAAGCACUUACUGUGUGCCAGGCACCGCGCCGUGUACACCACCGCUAACCCUCUCAAGUGGAGCGCUGAGGUCUAAGACCAUGGACUGUGAGCCAGAAUGUUUGAGUUUGAAUCCCGGCUUUGCAAAUUUCUAACUGUGACUUUGUGUAAGUUACUCAAGCCCUUUCUUCAGGUGUAAAAAUGGGAAGAAAGUAGCAGAGUCUCAGCCAUCGGAGGGCAGGUGAAUACUGGCUAGUACCUGUAAAGGGCUCACACGACUGCCUGGCAUAUAGUAACUGCUCAAGAAAAAUCGAAGCUAUUAUGAUUUCAGCCUUGAAGGAAAGAGAUAAAGCUAAGGAGGUAGAGUGAGUCACGUUCCAAUUCCUGCUUCAUCACUUCCCAGCUCUGUGACCUUGGUUAAAUCUCAAAACAUAAGUAGGUGUCCGUUUUCUUACCUGUUCAGUAAGUAUACUCUUAGGUCUCACCUUAUCAGGGGGCUGAGAGCUUCUGUGGAUGUGAAAAGCAGAUGGAAAGCGUUCGGAAAAAAUUCAUGUUUUCCCCACGUGUCCAGGAGGUUCCACGAUUCCAGAACAUCUACGAUUGCUCGGUCUCAGGCUUUUCCUGUCCUAGGAGACAGCGGUGAUCUGUUGGGGAUGGAUCAAGGCCCCUUGGCACCCCAUCCUUCUGCUGCCGGCACUAUCGACCCAUUUCACAGCAGUAGAAACUGAGGUCUGUGAGGUAAACAGGCUGCCCAAGGCAAAAGAUUUGCAAGUACCUGCACCCCUGAGCUGCGCUUGACCUGAACUCCUGGGACAACCCCACCAUUUCCUCUGCCAUCAGAGGCAACUGGGUCCUGGCCCUCUCUCACACCCAGCUGCAAUUUCCUGCCUCCAUAUGCCCUGCGCCUGGCUCGGUGCUAGUCUCAGAAAUGUUGGUUGUACCAGACAGAAUCUACAAGCCCAAAGAGCUAUGCUGUCCUUGAAUUAUCUCUCAGCAUCCUUAGCCUUCUUCCUUAUCCUCUGCCAGCCAACCAGAAGGAAACGCAACAUGGCCAUUGCAUCCCUAAGUCCUCCUCUCGCUACCAGGGCGAGAAGCAGGUGACAAGCAUAGGCAAUGUGAAGGAGGGGACAGAAGCGGGUCUGGAGCCCCAGAGCCCCAGGUUCUCAUGCCUUGGCUGUGUAACUUUGGACAUGAGUCCUCCCCUCUCUGAGUCUCGGUUUCCUCAUCUGUAGAAUGGGUACAAUCAUCACAAUGUCCACUCCUUCAGUUGAUAUGCAGAAUAGAGAGAGCAUGGGUAGAGCACUAGGCAUGGAUCAGGUCUCAGAAAAUGAGAACCAUCCCCGCUAGGUGGGGGUGGGGGUGGUGGCUGAACCCCUCUCUCCCCACCCCAGUCCUUCAAGCCCAGUUUGGCUCUUCUUGGUCAAUGGUGAGCUCCUCAUGAGACAGUAUAGUGGUUAUGAGCAUGAGCCCUGGGGUCAGCUGCCUGGCGUCAAAUCCUGCCUCUGCCACAUGUUAGCUGCCUGAUCGCAGACUUAAGUGACAGAAGCGCUCUGGGACUUAGUCUCUCCACGCAAGAAGUAGAUGUAUAAUAAUCCCCACCUCUUUGAACUGUUGUGAUGAUCAAAUGAAUUUACAAAUGUAAAGGCUAGGAUCCUGCCAGGCACACGAUGAGAGCUUAUAGAAGUGUUUGCUGCGCCUCGGGGAUUGAGGGGGAGAGGGGUCCUGGUGGCUUUUGCACAAUUUACAAGGAUCUCAGGGCCAGGGAUGGAAUAGGGGAGCUGGGGACAAAUCCUGAUCUGAACUGGGGGUGGAUUUUCAAAAGCAAGGCCACCAUACUGGGAAAAGGGCUUUUCCCCUGAAGGGCUGCACCACAUCCGGCCUCCCCGGGAGCCCAGUGUGGUGCUUGAACAUCUUUGUAAGGGGGAGCUCCAUCCUUCCGGUUGCUCAGCUCAGCCUCAAACCUUGGAGUCAUCCCUGAGGUUUGAUGUCUGCCACACUGGCUCCAGCAGUGUCCUGUCAACCCUUACAACAGAUCUAGAACAUGAAACGGUGGCCUUCCCGCUGCCUCCACACCUCCAGUGUCCACCCCUGGGCCUGGUCACCAGCAUCUUUGGCCUGGACCAUUGCUGUCACCUCCUCCCUGACUGGUCCAUUCUCCACACACAGUCAGGGGGUUUUUUUAAGAAUCUGGGUCAGAAUAUGCUGACAUGCUCAGGACCCUCUGUGGUCCCCAUCUGUCGCAGCGGAAAGCCUGGGUCUUCCUAGGACGUGCAAGGCCCUCCAAGAUCUGGCCCCCUCUCUGCCCUCACUGUCUCCCACGCUGCCCCUCGCUCACAGUGGCCCGGCCACACCAGCUUCCCCAUCAUCCUCACAUGUGCCGGGCACAAUCCAGCCUCGGGGCCUUUGCACUUGCCGCUUUCCUCUGCCGGGAAGGCUCUUCCUCAGAUAUCCCCGUUGCUCAAGCCCUCAUCUCUUUCAAGUUUGUCCUCAAAUAUUUGCUCAGCGAGGCCUGCCCUGGCCCUGCUCCCGCAUUAGACCUGUACUUCUCUGAGACACUCCAUCUCCCUUUCCUGGUUUAUUUUUCUUCUUAGCACUCAUGCUAAGGAGACACAUCUGAAAUACAAUAUAUUCAAUCUACCUGUUAACGUGUAUCCCCGGCUGCCCCCAACUCCAAAAUGUCAGCAGGAGCAGGUUUUGGACAUAAGUGGGAGCGGCCUCUUAGCACUUGCUGAGGCCUGGACACUGUUCCAGGGACUCCAGACCCAGCAGAGCGAACCACUGGGUCCCUGACUUCUCUCGACACUUCAGCCUCAUGGAAUUGAAUCCAGCGCCGCCAGGAACCGAGCAGGAAACUUUGAACCAGUGAGGGCAUGGCUCCUCGGCCUUAGUUUCCCCAUCUGUGAAUGGGAAGGCAAUCCCUCCCUCCCAAGGCUUUUGUGAGGCUCAAUGAGCAAAUGUCUCGGAAGCAUCUGGCACCCUGUGGGCCCUCCCUUAGAGCUCUGUCCCCGCUGUCCAGCCUCCGUGCUGGCUGUCCCCCAGGGAACUGUCCUGUGAGCGUUAUUUUUAACCGUGGCUCCGGCGGGCUGGGCAGCGGCUCUGCAGGCGGAGGGAGACCACAGGACCAGCCACAUCCCGGUUCUCCCCUGACUCCGGGAGACUGCGGCGUGGAAACAUCAGGGGAGGCCGCCCUGUGUUCAUACUCUGCCCCGUAACCCUUUAUGUGAAAUUAUGUCAUGUCACCCGAUGCUGUUUACAAACUUAGCGCUGACCUUUCUCAAGCAGGGCGCUGGGGGAAGGGGCUACAGCCCAGUCUCCCCACUGCUCCACCUCUACCAGGAAUGGUUGGUGGCCCCUCCUGUUAGCCCACAUUUCCACGGAGCAAAGUUGGGGGGCUGGCCUCUGGCCAGACUUUGCCCGUUUGUUUUAACAACUCCGAGUGCUCGCAGCUGACCAGCCCUGGGGUAUUUUUAAACCCUGGCCUGGGCCAACCUCUUUGUCACAUUCUGGUCGGGCUUGGAUUGAACACAUGUCCCAGUUCGGGUAGCUGAGGCUCGGGAGUUGUUUGACAACAAACAUUUAACCAAAUUCCAGGACCUGUGAGCCUACUGUGUGCCGGGCUCUAUAGCAGGAACAGAAGGCUCAGAGGGCCUAAGUCACAGAGCCUGUCCUCAAGGUGGCCUCAAUCCAGAGGGGACACUGUGACACAUGCUAGAAUGGAGGCUAAGACAGCAAUUACAACUCAAAUACCUACAGGGCCAGCGGGUUAUGUAAAUGAAUGAAGGGGGCCUGGUGUGUGGCGACUGGGAGGGGUGGGGCCGAGCUGAGCUGGCAAGCUCACGGCCUGUCUGAAGGGGGCGGCCGCUCCUCAGCUCUGACCUCUGUCGUCACAAGGGAAUCCAGCCCAGCGUGCCCAGAGCUUCUGAAUUUCCAAGAGAAGCUGCAAAUCCAGAUUUAUGUGGAAUUUCAUGCAAAAGUCUCAUGACUUUUAAAUGCUGGCAAUAAAUUUUUUAAAAAUGUUAAAAACAUCCUGAGAGCCAAAUGAAACCCGUUUGUGGGCUGCACUCAGCACAAGGAGUCAAGUUGAUGGGGCAAACAGUUUGUGCUUUCUGAUGCAAACAGAUGCAUUAUAAAAUGUUUGGCAAAUACAAGCUGAGCACCUACUAUGGGCUCCUUCUACUGUUCCAGAGCCGAAGAAGCAGCAGGAACCAAGAUGGACCAUAUCCCUGUCCUCAUCUGCGUGUAUCCAGUGAUGUGUUGGGGCUGGCUGGUACGAGCUGGCAAAUUCUGCAAGCUGGUUUCUACACAGCCAUCAUUAAAAAUUAAAUUAUUUGAACUUACAUUUAAAUAAAUGAUAAUACAAAUAAA